rnacentral:rRNA from 1 species
UACGUAGGGUGCGAGCGUUAAUCGGAAUUACUGGGCGUAAAGCGUGCGCAGGCGGAUUGUUAAGCAAGACGUGAAAUCCCCGGGCUCAACCUGGGAAUUGCGUUUUGAACUGGCAGUCUAGAGUGCGUCAGAGGGGGGUGGAAUUCCACGUGUAGCAGUGAAAUGCGUAGAGAUGUGGAGGAACACCGAUGGCGAAGGCAGCCCCCUGGGAUGACACUGACGCUCAUGUACGAAAGCGUGGGUAGCAAACAGGAUUAGAUACCCUGGUAGUCCACGCCCUAAACGAUGUCAACUGGUUGUUGGGGGAGUGAAAUCCCUUAGUAACGAAGCUAACGCGUGAAGUUGACCGCCUGGGGAGUACGGUCGCAAGAUUAAA